GUCUAUGGCCAUACCACCCUGAACGCGCCCAAUCUCGUCUGAUCUUGGAAGCUAAGCAGGGUCGGGCCUGGUUAGUACUUGGAUGGGAGAAAAAGGGACAGCCACGUGAGUUGCCACGUGGUGAAAUUCC
ensembl:rRNA 5S_rRNA 5S ribosomal RNA